UAAACAUAGCUUCUUACAUUUAGAACUGUAUCUUGACACACAAACAGGUAAAAAGAGAUCUCAGAACUGAACACAGGAAAAGAAAGAUGCAACAGACACAUCAAACCAGCAAGUUAGACGUACUUUGUACUCCUCCCGGAGCAACAGCUUUAAAUACCUUUUCACAGAUCACAGCACCUAUGCAAGGAGUUGCUUGAGAGAGACUGAUCUGUGGCCCUUCAGACACCUGGGUGGGGUGAUCACACUGCAAGCAAACCUGGUACUCAGCUGCAACGUCAUACUUGAGUUGCACAACAUAAAAACAGAUGGAUGUUUUGCAGCCAGCAAGCAAGACUUCCAGAGCUCUAUAUGCUCUUUC
rnacentral:lncRNA from 1 species